AUACGGAGGAUGCAAGCGUUAUCCGGAUUUAUUGGGUUUAAAGGGUGCGCAGGCGGAAAGAUAAGUCAGUGGUGAAAAACUGCCGCUUAACGGUAGUCUUGCCAUUGAUACUGUUUUUCUUGAGUAUGGAUGAGGUAGGCGGAAUGUGCAGUGUAGCGGUGAAAUGCAUAGAUAUUGCACGGAACUCCGAUUGCGAAGGCAGCUUACUGGACCAUUACUGACGCUCAGGCACGAAAGCGUGGGUAGCAAACAGGAUUAGAUACCCUGGUAGUCCACGCAGUAAACGAUGUUCACUCGCUGUUUGCGAUAUACAGUAAGCGGCUUAGUUAAAGCAUUAAGUGAACCACCUGGGGAGUACGAUCGCAAGGUUGAA
rnacentral:rRNA from 1 species